AGCCUCCUACAUGAAGAGGGGAAAGCACAGUGAUCCCCAACAUCGGAGAAACUCAGAGCCUGUGGUACCCAUGCUCCUUACAUGAGACCCGUGUACCCCACCAAAACGUUCCCCAAUCUCUAUACUCUUGCAACGGGCCUGUACCCUGAGUCCCAUGGCAUCGUUGGCAACUCCAUGCAUGACCCUGUGUUCGAUGCCAACUUUAACCUGCGGGGUCGAGAGAAGCUGAAUCAUCGUUGGUGGGGAGGGCAGCCGGUGAGGCCUACUCUCUCUGUUCUGRGGUUCAGUCACACUGCGCCUACAGAAAGGAUUCACACCCCUUCACUUGUUACACAUUUUGUUGUGUUACAGCCUGAAUUCAAAAUGGAUUCCAUUUAGAUGU